CUUCAGGACCCAUCUAAGCAAGUGAAGGAUGACCUAUGGUCCCUGCAGAUGCCAAAUGGAAUGAGCAGCAGCUAACAUUGGUUGCUUCAUCAAAGGGCACAUUACUUCCUGGACAUUACUUCAGCACCCAGUUGCAAAAUGCACCCCUGCCACGUCAAGGACAGGGAGCCAGUGAAGGUGCUGGAGAAGUGUUGAUGUGUCAGCUCAAGCCCUUAGUCCUUGCCACGGCAGGCUGGUUCUAUUAAAAUACAUGAAAACGUAGCCUAAGGAUUCCAUGUCAUCUCGGCGGCUCUGCUCAAUACCAAGAUGUGCAUUGAUGCUGGCAUAUCGGACAGUGCCAAUGAGGUGUUUAUCUUCUCUGUACGGAUUCCACAGAGACGUUCUGGCAAAACUGACUAAAUGAAGGAUUCAAGUAAAAUUUAACCAAAAUAUGGAGAAGAAACAGAAGCCGGCAGUUCUGAGCAUUUUCUCAGAAGAACUGGGGCCAGCACUAGCAGAAAAAGCGAACCCUUGUUAACCCACUGCUCUGGGCAGGGCACAAAUCCUGUUUGCUUCAUGGCGUUCCUUCAUGCUCUCACUGAACUGUGGUCUUUUGUGCAAUAGACCACCAUGGCAAUGUGUUUGUAUCUUUCACUGACACUUUUCACAUUAUAUCUUUUAUUACUUAUUUAUCCUUGUUCCUCAUUAUUUUGUUUUCUUAUAUUAAUUAAUUUUUAAGUUCAUAAAAGUUGUAUAUAUUUAUGGCAUAUAACAUGAUGCUUUGAAAUAUGUAUACAUUAUGGAAUGGCUAAAUUGAGCUAACUAACAUAAGUAUUACUUCAUAUAUCAUUUAUUUGUGGUGAGAACACUUAAAAUCUAUUGUCUUACCAAUUUCCAAGUAUACAUUACAUUGUUAUUAGCAAUAGUUACCAUGUUGUAUAAUAGAUGUCUUGAACUUCUUACUCCUGUCUUCCUCAUAACUUUGUGAUAGUAACACUUUCUAGCAUUUGCAUUUUUGACAGCUUUAAAAAUUAUUAAAAGUUCAUUUACAUUGUCUUAUUCAGGUCUCACACAGACCAUGUGAUUCAGGUUAAUUACUCCCAUGUCAGUGAAUCAAGGGAUGUGAGAUAGUGCAAUGAGGCAGCUUCAGAAGACUUGGGUUGUAGUUUUCACUGUGUAACAUAUGAGUUUUGCAAUUGUGAAGAGGCAAUUUACACACUUGAAACUUCAGCUUUCCCUCCUGGAAAAUAUGUAAGGGGGACAUAGUGCUGUGGGGUUCAUUGCUAUGAGGCAUUAAUCAGAUAUUUAAUAACUUUCAAACACCAUUAAAGUGGCAUUAACAUACUACUAUUAAGAGAAUGUAGUAUCCCGGAGGGUAGUAAUUAUGUCCCUUUUUUAUCUGUUUAUUUUCCAGACACUUAGUGCAGCACCUAAUGAUGGUGCUCAGUGAAUAUUGGUUAAAUGGAUGAAUGGGACAGAGGUUGCCAAACUUUUUCUGUAAAAGUCAAGAUAGUAAAUAUUUUAGGCUUUGUGGGCCAUACGAUCUCUGUCACAACUACUCAGAGCUGCUUUUGUAAUGCAAAAGCAGCCAUAGACAAUAUGUAAGUAAUGAGCAUGGAUGUGUUUCAAUUAAAUUAUUUAUGGCCACUGAAAUUUGAAUUUUAUAUGAUUUUCAUAUGUCAUGAAAUACUCUCCUUUUGAUUUUUUCCCAACUAUUUAAAAACGUAAAAACAGUUCUUGGCUCAUAGUGUUACAGGGGGCGGGGGGAGGGGGGUCCUUGCUCCCAGAGCUCCCAAGAUGGUGGCGGGCCACCUCCAAGGUGGUGGCAAACCUCGUGUUCUCUGACCUGGUGUCACGGAUUCCAAAGAAUGGAAUCUUGAGCCAUGUGGUGAGUGUUAUAGCUCUAUUAGAAGCCGUGGGUCACGGAAGACAACCGUGGAACCCAGUGACUAGUGUUCAGCUUGAUUAGGACCAACCUGGGCACAUAGCUGUGCAGGAACAAUGGUGAACCUUUAGCUCCAUCGGGAGCAGCAGUGGGCACCUCACUGGAUCAGGAGCACAGCAGACACCCUGCCGGAUCCGGAGGGAUGGAAGUCAGCAGCGGGUCUGUGACAGCAGCAAACAGCAGUGGCGGAGGGCCAGCGAAAGCUCAGCUCGAGUAACAAACACGGACCAGAAGAGUGUGCAGCUGCAAGAUUUAAUAGAGUGAAAACAGAGCUCCCAUACAAAGGGAGGGGACCCAAAGAGGGUAGCCGUUGCCGGCUCCAAUGCCUAGGUUUAUAUCCCUAUCAUUGUCCCUCCUGCUGUGCUCUCAGGCAAUAGAUGAUUGGCUAUUUCUUUACCUCCUGUUUUUGCCUAAUUAGCAUUUUAGUGAGCUCUCUUUACUACCUGAUUGGUUGGGUGUGAGUUAAGUUGCAAGCCCCGUGUUUAAAGGUGGAUGCGGUCAUCUUCCCAGCUAGGCUUAGGGAUUCUUAGUCGGCCUAGGAAAUCCAGCUAGUCCUGUCUCUCAAUAGGUUGUACAAAAACGGAGGGGCCAGAUUUAUUUUAUCAAUCUCUGGAAUAAAAUAUGAAUAUCAGUUAAAUUAAGCAUGUAUCUGAAAUCUCAGCAUCACACAACAUACCCAUGUAAUAAACCUGCACAUGUAACCCUGAAUUUAAAAUUAAAGUUGAAACUUUUUUUAAAAAAUAAAACUUAUUAUGGUCAUUUUAUGAGCACUUUUUUAAAUAAUCUUAUUUGAAUAGACUAGAAAAUUUGGUCAUUCACUAAUAUGAUAUUGUGAGUAUAAGAAUCACAGAGGGAAAAAUCAAACUUACUGUACUAGGCUAAAUACAAUUUUAUCUUUCUUGUAUUAUGAUAUGCAGACUUUUAUCAAAUAUUGUAGGCUUUUAAUUCAUUUCUGGAUUCAUUUAAAUAGAUUGAAAAAAGUUGAAAAGGAAAGUAUGCAUUGAGGAACACUUGAUGAGGCGAUAAGAUGAUGUAACCUGCUUGGUCUUAUGGAAAGUCAUGAAACUGCAGACUUGGUCCAUUGCAAAUUCAUGCUAUCUCACCUCGUUUGGGUUCUUAAUGCUACUUGUCAAUUCUUUUCUUAUUCAUUGCUUGUUAAAUUCUUAUUGCAUUCCUCAUAGCAGCUGUUUUAGAUUUUCUAUGCUUUCAACUUCCACUCUCAUGGUCUCUCACUCACUCUAAGCAGAUGACUCUCCUCCUUCUGGACUUGCUGGCCGUUGCAAGCUCUUGCAGUUUUUCUCCCCUCAUACUCAGACAUAUCUGCUGCCACUCAUUCCCCAUAACCUCAUAUUCCUCUUGAUCUUUACUUCUUUGUUUUCUUUCAUUGCAGGGGGAUAAUGUGUCACUUACACUUGUGCUCUUUCCACCACCAUUUUUUUUUUUUUUCUGCCCUGAGCUGGGGGUUUUGCUAUGUUUCCCAGGCUAGACUUGAACUCUUGGGCUCAAGCUAUCCUCCAAGCUCAGCCUUUUGAGUAGCUGGGAUUACAGGUGCGAUUCACUGUGCCCUGCAUCUACCACUAUUUUUAAACUUCUUCCAUAAAAUUAUUCAAUUGAUGAUUUUCCUUCUCUCUUCUGUUAGCAUCUCUCUGCCUUUUUACUGGCUCUUUCUCUUCUUUUUAUAAACAUUAUUAGAUCUCCUAGUCUUUUAAAACAG
rnacentral:lncRNA from 1 species